GUCUAUAAAAGCAUACCAAUAGGCACGCCCGAUCUCGUCUGAUCUCGGAAGCUAAGCAGGGUCGGGCCUGGUUAGUACUUGGAUGGGUGACCGCCUGGGAAUACCAGGUGCUGUAAGCA
ensembl:rRNA 5S_rRNA 5S ribosomal RNA